rnacentral:rRNA from 1 species
UACAUAGGGUGCAAGCGUUGUCCGGAAUUAUUGGGCGUAAAGAGCUCGUAGGUGGCUCGUCACGUCGAAUGUGAAACCCUGAGGCUCAACCUCAGGCCUGCAUCCGAUACGGGCGAACUGGAGUGUGGUAGGGGAGACUGGAAUUCCUGGUGUAGCGGUGGAAUGCGCAGAUAUCAGGAGGAACACCAAUGGCGAAGGCAGGUCUCUGGGCCACUACUGACACUGAGGAGCGAAAGCGUGGGGAGCAAACAGGAUUAGAUACCCUGGUAGUCCACGCUGUAAACGGUGGGCACUAGUUGUGGGAACCUUCCACGGUUUCUGCGACGCAGCUAACGCAUUAAGUGCCCCGCCUGGGGAGUACGAUCGCAAGAUUA